UACGGAGGAUGCGAGCGUUAUCCGGAUUUAUUAGGUUUAAAGGGUGCGUAGGCUGAAUAGUCAGUCAGUGGUGAAAUCCUACAGCUUAACUGUAGAACUGCCAUUGAUACUGCUAUUCUUGAGUUCAGUUGAGGUAGGCGGAAUGUGUAGUGUAGCGGUGAAAUGCUUAGAUAUUACACAGAACACCGAUUGCGAAGGCAGCUUACUAAACUGACACUGACGCUGAGGCACGAAAGCGUGGGGAGCGAACAGG
rnacentral:rRNA from 1 species